ACCUGGGUAGCUCAGUCAGUUGAGCAUCUGACUUUUAGCUCAGGUCAUGAUCUCCUGGUUUGUGGGUUCGAGCCCCACAUUGGGCU
rnacentral:tRNA from 1 species